rnacentral:ncRNA from 2 species
UCUUUCACAAUUUGGUUUGGUGUCCCACCGCAAGGCGGGAUGAAAAGGGAAUUCCGUGCCUCGCUUCCAACGGCGAGAAAUCGGAAGCUGCCCCGCAACUGUAGUCCCAACCCGGAGUAUCGGGAAGGUCCUUGACAAAACCACGUCACUGUUCACAGCGAACGGGAAGACAAGUCAAGGUUUGGGAAAGCCAGGAGACCUGCCAGACUAAUGGAAUUUAG